AUGGGCGUCCCAUCCUCCUCCGUUAAGAAUUCAUCCUCUCGUGAACAUAUCCGUGAGCUAGAACACAUCAUUGCAACUCAAGAGGCAGAUGCAAAAAAGGCAACUGAUAUGUUUCAUGAAGAGCUCAAUGAACCCCUUUUUGCCCAGAUAGUAGAAAUUAAAGAACUUCAGAAGAAGCGGCUAGAAGAGAUUGAAGAUUUCAAAAUGGAUCAGCAGAAGAAAUCCACUGUCUUUGAAAAAAGGCAAAGACAUAUGGAGGCAAUGCUCAGUCAUCUGUUAAGGAAGUCCACACAGUCAGCACAAGACAACGUCCGAAAAACACCGAUGGCCUCAUGCUUAUAG
rnacentral:rRNA from 1 species